rnacentral:lncRNA from 1 species
UAGAAUUUAAUUUAGGAUUUGCUUUAGGAUUAGGAUUUGAUUAGGAUUUGAUUUAGGAUUUAGGAUUUGAUUAGGAUUUCAUUUAGGAUUUUCUUAGGAUUUAAUUUAGGAUUUAGUUGGGAUUUGGUUUAGGAUUUAGGGUUUGGUCAGGAUUUGGUUUAGGUUUAGGAUUUGAUUUAUGGUUUAGGAUUUUAUUAGGGCUUAUUUAGGAUUUAAGAUUUACUUAGUUUUGGCCUAAAGUUUGAAUGAAGUCCAAUAGGAUUUUAACUAGGAUUAAAUUAAGAUUGAAUUGAGAUGUAUGUGUAAGUUAUUUGUGAUCAUUCUAAUAUUUCUUUAAGAUUUCUUAUUUUUUCUUUAAAAUUUCUUUGAGGUUUCUUUGAAUUUGAUUAAAGCUUGCUUAGCAUUAUUAUGUUUUAAUUAGAGCAUUGUUAGAAUUCUAUUAGAAUUAGGAUUUUAUUGUUGUAAUUUCCAUUCUACCUUCUACAACAAGGUGCUCGGAGCAUUCUCAAGCAAGACUUCAUGUAUUACGACACUGUAUUGUAACCAACAA